rnacentral:rRNA from 1 species
AUUGAACGCUGGCGGCAGGCCUAACACAUGCAAGUCGAGCGGAUGAAGGGAGCUUGCUCCUGGAUUCAGCGGCGGACGGGUGAGUAAUGCCUAGGAAUCUGCCUGGUAGUGGGGGAUAACGUCCGGAAACGGGCGCUAAUACCGCAUACGUCCUGAGGGAGAAAGUGGGGGAUCUUCGGACCUCACGCUAUCAGAUGAGCCUAGGUCGGAUUAGCUAGUUGGUGAGGUAAAGGCCUACCAAGGCGACGAUCCGUAACUGGUCUGAGAGGAUGAUCAGUCACACUGGAACUGAGACACGGUCCAGACUCCUACGGGAGGCAGCAGUGGGGAAUAUUGGACAAUGGGCGAAAGCCUGAUCCAGCCAUGCCGCGUGUGUGAAGAAGGUCUUCGGAUUGUAGAGCACUUUAAGUUGGGAGGAAGGGCAGUAAGUUAAUACCUUGCUGUUUUGACGUUACCAACAGAAUAAGCACCGGCUAACUUCGUG